GUUAGAGCAUCUGACUGUCAAUAAGGCAGCUCUCAUUGGUAACAGUGAGAUGAAAAGCGGGUGAACUCAGGGGAAGCUAAGUGCGCUUGCAUAUGCCAAUCCUGAGCCAAGCCUCUUGAUGUUAAAGGCAAGAGGAAGGUGCAGAGACUAGAGAGUGACGAUAAGAAUAAUCUCUCACAAGCGCCCGCCAUCCAUCGUAGUUAUGAUGUGAUGAAGAGAUAGUCCACGCCAAUUGGAAACAAUUGG
rnacentral:ncRNA from 1 species